GGUGGCUCAAUAGUAGAGUGCUUGCCUUGCAUGCAUGAGGCCCUGGGUUCAAUUCCUCAGCACCA
rnacentral:tRNA from 1 species